CGCCAGACUCCUACGGGAGGCAGCAGUGGGGAAUAUUGCACAAUGGGGGAAACCCUGAUGCAGCGACGCCGCGUGAGCGAUGAAGUAUUUCGGUAUGUAAAGCUCUAUCAGCAGGGAAGAAGAUGACGGUACCUGACUAAGAAGCCCCGGCUAGCUACGUGCCAGCAGCCGCGGUAAUACGUAGGGGGCAAGCGUUAUCCGGAUUUACUGGGUGUAAAGGGAGCGUAGACGGCGAUGCAAGCCAGAUGUGAAAGCCCGGGGCUCAACCCCGGGACUGCAUUUGGAACUGUGUGGCUGGAGUGUCGGAGAGGCAGGCGGAAUUCCUAGUGUAGCGGUGAAAUGCGUAGAUAUUAGGAGGAACACCAGUGGCGAAGGCGGCCUGCUGGACGAUGACUGACGUUGAGGCUCGAAAGCGUGGGGAGCAAACAGGAUUAGAUACCCUGGUAU
rnacentral:rRNA from 1 species